CGUUUACUCAAUUUAUGAAAUUUUGCAUAUUUCUUUUCACAUUCCAAUCAUCAUUGCAGCAGCUCGACCUAAGCAAAUAAACAAGCGACAACUACUUGUACAAUUGUGCAAACUUUGUUUUGAAUCCCCAUCAACUGCAGACACAUAUGCAUGAGAAGACCAGCAAAAUAAAAGAUAUUUGAGAGAAUGAAAUUGGCGUUUGUGAUUAAAAUGCAGAGUUGAACAUAGAUAAUAGAAAUCAGACACAGCGAUGCUACUCGGCUUGCUAA